UAAUUGAUUAUGUAUCAAGCAGGGGCCUCUCUUGGUUCCACCAAUAUUUCAUUUACUCCUACAUAUUCUGGUUUUGUCACUGCAAAUAAUACUGCAUAGGCAAUGUAUGUUGGUUCUCGGAUUUUGCAGGAUGAACUCCCAUCAUGUUUUUCGUGCGCUUGCAAAAGAAAUUGUGAUAGUUAUCAAUUCAUUUCUGAACACCUAUAAUCUGUAACUACGACUGUAAAAUAUAUAUCAAAGUGUUCAAUUCACAUGGUGGAAAGAUUGGAAGAGUUGUG
rnacentral:lncRNA from 1 species